GACGAACGCUGGCGGCGUGCUUAACACAUGCAAGUCGAACGGAAAGGCCCUGCUUUUGUGGGGUGCUCGAGUGGCGAACGGGUGAGUAACACGUGAGUAACCUGCCCUUGACUUUGGGAUAACUUCAGGAAACUGGGGCUAAUACCGGAUAGGAGCUCCUGCUGCAUGGUGGGGGUUGGAAAGUUUCGGCGGUUGGGGAUGGACUCGCGGCUUAUCAGCUUGUUGGUGGGGUAGUGGCUUACCAAGGCUUUGACGGGUAGCCGGCCUGAGAGGGUGACCGGCCACAUUGGGACUGAGAUGCGGCACAGACUCGUACGGGAGGCAGAAGUGGGGAAUAUUGCACAAUGGGCGGAAGCCUGAUGCAGCAACGCAGCGUGCGGGAUGACGGCCUUCGGGUUGUAAACCGCUUUCGCCUGUGACGAAGCGUGAGUGACGGUAAUGGGUAAAGAAGCACCGGCUAACUACGUG
rnacentral:rRNA from 1 species